rnacentral:rRNA from 1 species
GCAGCCGCGGUAAUACGGAGGAUGCGAGCGUUAUCCGGAUUUAUUGGGUUUAAAGGGUGCGUAGGCGGAAGUUCAAGUCAGCGGUAAAAUCGAGGGGCUCAACCCCUUUAAGCCGUUGAAACUGGGUUUCUUGAGUGGGCGAGAAGUGUGCGGAAUGUGUGGUGUAGCGGUGAAAUGCAUAGAUAUCACACAGAACUCCGAUUGCGAAGGCAGCACACCGGCGCCCAACUGACGCUGAGGCACGAAAGCGUGGGGAUCAAACAGGAUUAGAUACCCC